CUACGGGUUGCUCCAGUGGGGAAUAUUGCACAAUGGGCGCAAGCCUGAUGCAGCCAUGCCGCGUGUAUGAAGAAGGCCUUCGGGUUGUAAAGUACUUUCAGCAGGGAGGAAGGGAGUAAAGUUAAUACCUUUGCUCAUUGACGUUACCCGCAGAAGAAGCACCGGCUAACUCCGUGCCAGCAGCCGCGGUAAUACGGAGGGUGCAAGCGUUAAUCGGAAUUACUGGGCGUAAAGCGCACGCAGGCGGUUUGUUAAGUCAGAUGUGAAAUCCCCGGGCUCAACCUGGGAAGUGCAUCUGAUACUGGCAAGCUUGAGUCUCGUAGAGGGGGGUAGAAUUCCAGGUGUAGCGGUGAAAUGCGUAGAGAUCUGGAGGAAUACCGGUGGCGAAGGCGGCCCCCUGGACGAAGACUGACGCUCAGGUGCGAAAGCGUGGGGAGCAAACAGGAUUAGAUACCCCAGUAGUC
rnacentral:rRNA from 1 species